UACGUAGGGUGCGAGCGUUGUCCGGAAUUAUUGGGCGUAAAGAGCUUGUAGGCGGUUUGUCGCGUCUGCCGUGAAAUUUCGAGGCUCAACCUCGAACUUGCGGUGGGUACGGGCAGACUAGAGUGUGGUAGGGGAGACUGGAAUUCCUGGUGUAGCGGUGGAAUGCGCAGAUAUCAGGAGGAACACCGGUGGCGAAGGCGGGUCUCUGGGCAGUAACUGACGCUGAGGAGCGAAAGCGUGGGGAGCGAACAGG
rnacentral:rRNA from 1 species